UGGGGAAUAUUGCACAAUGGGCGCAAGCCUGAUGCAGCCAUGCCGCGUGUAUGAAGAAGGCCUUCGGGUUGUAAAGUACUUUCAGCGGGGAGGAAGGCGAUAAGGUUAAUAACCUUGUCGAUUGACGUUACCCGCAGAAGAAGCACCGGCUAACUCCGUGCCAGCAGCCGCGGUAAUACGGAGGGUGCAAGCGUUAAUCGGAAUUACUGGGCGUAAAGCGCACGCAGGCGGUCUGUCAAGUCGGAUGUGAAAUCCCCGGGCUCAACCUGGGAACUGCAUUCGAAACUGGCAGGCUAGAGGCUUGUAGAGGGGGGUAGAAUUCCAGGUGUAGCGGGGAAAUGCGUAGAGAUCUUGAGGAAUACCGGUGGCGAAGGCGGCCCCCUGGACAAAGACUGACGCUCAGGUGCGAAAGCGUGGGGAGCAAACA
rnacentral:rRNA from 1 species